UAAAACACAACGAUGAAGACCCAAAUCUUGCUUCAGAAGAUGUUUCGGUCUUUUCAAGAACAAAGCGAUCUGUAUGGGAAAAAAUACAAAGGGAGAAACAGUUUUGAGAGAGACGGGCAGGCGGGAGAGAAGACGAAGAGGAGGUUGAAGGAAAGUUCAAGUGAAACCUAGCAACACAUAAACCUAGAAAAAGAGAAAGAAGGACAUAAUUUCUUUUUUGGUGUAGAAGACGUUAUUUGCAGCUGAAAGCGUACCAAGCGCUCCUAAAUCCGAAAAAUGAUCAUAUUUUCACGGCAUACAGAGGUGAGCAAGCUUCGGAGACUCGUCAGCCAGAGGCAACACAUCUGGUGCGGGUAGCAGCCCCGCAGGCGGCGGGACCAGUAUUACAGCAUCGAGAUUCAGUGCCAAGGCACCCCGCGGGGAAGCUUUGGGGUGCAGCCUGGGCUGUGGUGGAAGACUUGCCUAAAAUUCCUCCCACUCCUCUUCCAAAUAGCCCACCAACCCUCUACCCCGACCUCACUCUCCGAAAAACAAUUUUGCUCAAGGUGGGCUAAGCAUGUGUGAUCUCACGUUUACGGUGGUUUAAUGAUUUUGGAAAAUCACAAAGAAAAC
rnacentral:lncRNA from 1 species